CCUGGGCAGCCCCUCUGGGCCCUGCCUCCGGUGCCUACUGAGCUGAUACUCAGUUGCUUUGGUUUAAACUGGCUCAGUUCAGCAGGAACAGGAGUCUGGCUCCAGCUGCGCCAGCCACCCA
rnacentral:pre_miRNA from 14 species